GGAUCAUUACCGAGUUGCAUAAACUCCAAAACCCUCUGUGAACCUUACCGUCGUUGCCUCGGCGUGAGCCGCGGCUACCCGGGAGCUACCCUGGAGGCGCUACCCUGUAGCGGCUCCCCGGGAGCUGCCCCGUAGCCGGCCCACGGCCCGCCGGAGGACCGCCGAACUCUUGCAUUUCUGACACUGUAUCUCUGAACGCGUAACUGAAACAAGUUAAAACUUUCAACAACGGAUCUCUUGGUUCUGGCAUCGAUGAAGAACGCAGCGAAAUGCGAUAAGUAAUGUGAAUUGCAGAAUUCAGUGAAUCAUCGAAUCUUUGAACGCACAUUGCGCCCGCUAGCAUUCUGGCGGGCAUGCCUAUUCGAGCGUCAUUUCGACCCUUAAGCCCCUGUUGCUUAGCGUUGGGAGUCUACGGCUGCGGCGUAGUUCCCGAAAGUCAGUGGCGGAGUUGGGGCACACCCUCGGCGUAGUAAGUUUUCCCUCGCCUGCGUGGUGGCCCCGGCUGCUGGCCGUUAAACGACCCUUAUAUCUUUCUAGUGGUUGGCCUCGAAUUAGGUAGGAAUACCCGCUGAACUUAAGCAUAUCAAUAAGCGGAGGAAAAGAAACCAACAGGGAUUGCCCUAGUAACGGCGAGUGAAGCGGCAACAGCUCAAAUUUGAAAUCUGGCCCUCGCGGUCCGAGUUGUAAUUUGUAGAGGAUGCUUUAGGCGCGGCGCCUUCCGAGUUCCCUGGAACGGGACGCCGGAGAGGGUGAGAGCCCCGUACGGUUGGACGCCUAGCCUGCGUAUAGCUCCUUCGACGAGUCGAGUAGUUUGGGAAUGCUGCUCUAAACGGGAGGUAAAUUUCUUCUAAAGCUAAAUACCGGCCAGAGACCGAUAGCGCACAAGUAGAGUGAUCGAAAGAUGAAAAGCACUUUGAAAAGAGGGUUAAAUAGCACGUGAAAUUGUUGAAAGGGAAG
rnacentral:rRNA from 1 species